CUACGACGUUGAUAGGUCGGGUGUGUAAGCGCAGCGAUGCGUUGAGCUAACCGAUACUAAUGAACCGUGAGGCUUAACCUUACAACGCCGAAGC
rnacentral:rRNA from 3 species